GAUGUAAUGGAAAUUGUCAGAAAUUUUAAUUUCUCUCUGUUUAGCUCACUCACAAUGGCUGUCAAACAGUCAAGUGAUAUGACGUAAAGUACCGCUAAUCGUUUCAGCACAAGACAGUACUUCAAAGGUAAGGCAAAGGAUGUGCAGACACUAAUGAAAUUUUAUUAUCAGAACAUAGAAUUAGAAUUGUGACAAGAGACAAUGGUGGCAGUGACAUGCAGCUAGAAUGUUAAGCUUCUGAAAUCUCUGAGCUGAGUCUCACAGACAAAAAUAGCUAGAGCUGCAGACUUCUUAAUAGUCUUAAAUGGAAAUUGAAUGGGCUCAAUUAAUCAAGUGAACAAACUAUAGGGAAUUACAGAAAAGGCUCGUUCUGUGUUUUCAGGCUAUUAACCUGCAUGGCCAUUAUGUCCUGGUAUAAUGUUGUGGUUUGCAAUCCAUGUGUUGCUUCUCUGAGUAUAUGUUUCUGUAUUUGCAGAGAAACGUGUAAAGCUCAUGAGCCACCACGACAUGCAGAUCUGAAGGGACUUCAGCUGGCAAUAGGCAAUGUCGGGAUUCUUUCAAGGUUGAAUCUGUCUGAACAGGACAAGGAGAAGAAGACAAGAGUAGCGUCUCUCGAACACAACUAUCAGUGCCUUUUCUUCCAGAUUUGGGUUCCACUCCUGCCAUCAUCCUUUCUCUGGAUGAGAAUUUCUCUGUGUCGCUACCAGAGGAUGAGAUGCAUGCGGUUGUUCAGUGCAUUCACCUGUGUUGCGCCGAGGCCAAAAUCAAAUCAGCUUUUGUCAAAAAAGAAGUUCUCCUUAGAAUAUGGGAAGUGCUGUGUGCCUUUAAAAAAGGAAAUCUACGACUGAAGUUCCAUGUCUGAACUGGAUCAUCCAAUAAAUGUAUUAGGAAAAACCCUACAUCUGCAACUCAGACCGGUACAAGACCCUCUGGCUAAGGUUCUUUACAGGAGGGAAGGAAAGGGAGAAGCCAGUGACCAGGGCAGGAAUCCCCAACCUGAACAGUAAAAAGAAAAGGGAUAGAGCCAGGAUCAAGGUCUCCCUCGUAUAGAACUGGAGGCGCUGGGACCAGCCAGACCCAUGUUGUGGCCCUGCAUCAGCCCCGGGGCCGGGGAAGCACUCUAUAGCAUUGGCCCUGCCAUGGGGACAUGGACACACACUGUGCAGAAGCCGACUGCCUUCUUCUAGCCUAGGAUGAUUCCCCGAAGGAAUUCCUACAGCUCUUUACCAGAGCCUCCAAAUGCCCGCUUGGCUCUGGAAAACAAAUGCGCUGAACUGAAACUGAAAAUCCUCUUUAGAAUAAAAUAUUUGGAGUCUUUGACGGCAUUACCCUUAAAUGCUCAUUUAUUCCUCCUUCCUGCCUCUUGGGAUUUGAAAAUUGGAUACCAGAACUGGACACAGCAGUGUUGGACCCAUCAGUGAGACAUACCUGUAAUAUCACAUUCUCCUGCAUAAUCAUGCAAGUAUUAUAUUAACCUUAGCCCAUGGAUUGAGUAGGGAAUUCAUGGUAAAUUGAUUUUCUGAAGUCCUUUUCAGUGUCACUGCAUUUCAGUAUAUGGUCUUCUAUGUUGUUAGUGUGACCUACAUUCUCUUUUGACAUAUCUGACUGUGUCUGUCUGUAUUAAAACCUUCCUUAAAAUAUUACUACAUUUUACAAGCUGAUUCAAAUAAUGCAUUAUAUCUGACCAGUCCUUGUUUCUUGAAUACUCAUUUGGCCAUUCUGUUCUUUGUGUGCCUUUACAGUCAUAAGCUUUAAAUAUUUGAAGUAUUUUCUGUCCUAGACAGAUAAGUGAGUUUCUAUUCGUUCCUAAUCUGAUUGUAUGCAAAAGGGACUUGAAACAAAUUGAUAAUAGAACCAUUCCAAUCAGAUACAUCCAUAUUCUGAUGUAAUAAGCAAUUACAGUGCUUUGGGCAGUUUUUAAUGUGUUUUACUCUAUCACAUGUUUCGUGUAAUGUUGCUUUUUAACAAUGUAAUAGAAACAUUUGUGAAAGAUGGAUUUAAAAUACAGAUACAAGUGGUUUUGGAAACUAAAUGCUUUGUGGAAAAAUAGUAGUGUCGGUCUUAUUUAAAAACAAAUACUUCCUAUACACUAACUAGAUGUUAUGCUUAACAUAUGAUUAACUUACAAUUAACAGAAUCUUCUUGUUUGCUGUCUCACUCUAAAUACCAUGCCACAAGCUAGCAUCAGCACAGGUUUACAGUCUGUCUUUGCUUCCUUCAGUGUUCAUAACCUGUGAAGACAGGUUCCAUAGAAGUCCUUUUAAAAUUCCCACCAUAGAGGAGCCUUCAUCCUCCAUCACUUGGCAAUAUGGCUGGUUAUGUCUGGACAGCGCAAAUGUCACCAUUGGUACGUAAGUAUCUCGGGUAGCUUAAGCUAGUCUUUGUUGCAGCAAGAAACUGGUUUGCCAACCUUGGUUUGCUAAUCUGAUUUGCUAGGCUUGCACCACUGAUAUAUAUUAGUGUCCUCCCAUCAGCCUUUGGAAUUUGCAUCACUUC